rnacentral:rRNA from 1 species
GACGAACCACACAAACGUUAUUCGGAAUUACUGGGCUUAAAGGGUGCGUAGGCGGCCAACUAAGUCAGACGUGAAAUCCCUCGGCUUAACCGGGGAACUGCGUCUGAUACUGGUUGGCUUGAGUGUGGGAGAGGGAUGCGGAAUUCCAGGUGUAGCGGUGAAAUGCGUAGAUAUCUGGAGGAACACCGGUGGCGAAGGCGGCAUCCUGGACCAUUACUGACGCUGAGGAGCGAAAGCCAGGGGAGCAAACGGG